GGUAGGGUGGCUGAGUAAGUGGCGGGUUGUAGCCCUGUAAACAGAGGUGUAAGUCCUCUUCCUAUCA
rnacentral:tRNA from 1 species